rnacentral:rRNA from 1 species
GACGAACGCUGGCGGCGUGCUUAACACAUGCAAGUCGAGCGGAAAGGCCCUUCGGGGUACUCGAGCGGCGAACGGGUGAGUAACACGUGAGUAAUCUGCCCCUCACUCAGGGAUAACCGCGGGAAGCUGCGGCUAAUACUUGAUAUGACCACGUCUCGCAUGGGGGGUGGUGGAAAGCGUUUAGUGGUGGGGGAUGUGCUCGCGGCCUAUCAGCUUGUUGGUGAGGUAGUGGCUCACCAAGGCUUCGACGGGUAGCCGGCCUGAGAGGGUGACCGGCCACACUGGGACUGAGACACGGCCCAGACUCCUACGGGAGGCAGCAGUGGGGAAUAUUGGACAAUGGGCGAAAGCCUGAUCCAGCAACGCCGCGUGAGGGAUGACGGCCUUCGGGUUGUAAACCUCUUUCACCUCUGACGAAGCGCAAGUGACGGUAAGGGGAGAAGAAGGACCGGCCAACUACGUGCCAGCAGCCGCCGUAA